rnacentral:tRNA from 1 species
UAGUAAUUAGUUUAACUAAAAUAAAUGGUUUCGACCCAUUAGAUUAUGAUCACCCAUAAUUACUAA